UACGUAGGGUGCGAGCGUUAAUCGGAAUUACUGGGCGUAAAGCGUGCGCAGGCGGUUGUGUAAGACAGGUGUGAAAUCCCCGGGCUUAACCUGGGAACUGCGCUUGUGACUGCACGGCUAGAGUAUGGCAGAGGGGGGUGGAAUUCCACGUGUAGCAGUGAAAUGCGUAGAGAUGUGGAGGAACACCGAUGGCGAAGGCAGCCCCCUGGGCCAAUACUGACGCUCAUGCACGAAAGCGUGGGGAGCAAACAGGAUUAGAUACCCUGGUAGUCCACGCCCUAAACGAUGUCGACUAGGUGUUCGGUGAGGAGACUCAUUGAGUACCGCAGCUAACGCGUGAAGUCGACCGCCUGGGGAGUACGGUCGCAAGAUUA
rnacentral:rRNA from 1 species